AUGAUCAAAGGAGCUUCGUACCCGAACUUGCACGAUAUCUAUGAUUCGGAUCAACGUUUCUUCUGCCUACUGUGCAAUGAAUUCUGGAACACUCCUCUUUUCAACAGGUUUGGAGCAAGACUCCUGAAGCUUAUCCCUGGUGUAUUAUUGAAGCACCCUGUUCCGAAACAUAUGGCAGCAUGUAUUGGUGCAAGUUAUAGCAAUGUUUUAGGGUGA